rnacentral:lncRNA from 1 species
AAGGAGUAAAGCCCAAUUGGAGGAUCCCCAAAUCAGAUAGCCCAAAGAACGAAGCCCAAUCGAACAAUUCAAGAUGAAGGCCCAAAUAAGGAGGCCCAAGAACACGGUAACGCCAUCGCCCAAGUUUGCAAGUCGCCUAGAAUCUGAGCGAAUGGAAUGUCAUACAGUCACCCAGAAUCUGAGCGAAUGGAGUGUCAUACAGUCGCCCAGAACUGUUACUCUAUUCUCGCCCAAACCUUCAAGUCGCCCAAGGUCUUAACAAACAUAAAGCGUCGUGGUUAUCAAGAAGUGCAGUUAUCAAAGCAGUUA